rnacentral:lncRNA from 1 species
UCCGGGAUGUUCCUGCCAAAGGUCCAGAGUCUGCAUUGGAUCAUGAGGAAUCCUCAGGCAAGCCCAACUUGAGGGAUAUUCUACAAAAGAUCUGGCCUAUAGUCUUAAAAAAUUCCCCAGGAAUUGUUCUAGAUUGAAGAAGACAAAAGACACGUGACAACUAAAUGCAACGUGUGAUUCUGAACUGGAUCCUUUUGUUAAAAAGGAUGUAGUUAGGACAACUGGCAAAACGGAAAUAAGGUCUGAGGAUUCGAUGGUAGCGACGCGCUCACGUUGCUUUCCUGAUGCUUUUGUUGUGGCUGUGUUGAGGCCAUCCUUGUUUGUACUUGGGGAUGAUGGGGCAUCGGGUCGGCAACUGCUUUCAAAUGGCUCAGGAAGAAGUUAUUUUUAUCUGUAUUACAACUUUUCUGUAAGUUUGAACUCAUUUCAAAGAAAAAAGCUUUCAGAGAGUUAUUAAGUGUCUACUAACAGUUGGGCAUCUUAGAUCAGAGUUGUGGUUAAAAGCUAGCUUUACAAAAUAUGAUACAUACAUACAAUGGAAUAUAUUCAGCCUUAAAAGGGAAGGAAAUUCUGACACUUGCCACAACACGGAUAAACCUUGAGGACAUUUUGCUGAGUGCAGCAAGCCAAUCACAAAAGACAAAUACUGUAUGAUUCCACGUUAUAUGAGGUGCCUCGAGUAGUCGAAUUCAUAGCAACAGGAAGCACAGCGGUCACUGCCAGUGGCUGGAGGGAGAAGGGGAUGGGAAGUUACUGUGUAAAGGGUACAGAGUUUUAGAUUGGGAAGAUAAAAAGUUCUGGAGAUGGAUGGUGGUAAAUGGUUGCUUAGCAAUGUGAGCGUACUUAAUACCACUGAACUGUAUACAUAAAAAUAGUUGAGGUAAAUUUUGUGAUGUGUCUCUUAUAGUUCUUUUAAAAAUGGGGGGGGAGAGGUGGGGAAUAGGCUUUGAAGUGAACCCUGGCUUGGACUCUCAGCUUUAAUACUUGUCACUGACAAGCGCUUGUCAGUGGGGACGACAGUGCUGUCUCUGUGGUGCAUAGCUAGAGCUCCUGCAGGGAGCCCUGGAGUGCAGGGCUGGGGUGGACACACGGCACACACUCAUGUUGGGUGAACUCCUCUUAUCAUCGCUCAUCAUGGACUCCAUAGCUCAGUAAGGCUGCUGUUGUUUUCCCCAGUGCCCUCCCUUCCUAUCUUUAACAACUGCUGGCCACCCAAAGUCUGGACUUGCUAUCCUCAACUCUCUAGGAACUUCCACCAGAGACAGAGGUGAAGUGUGUCCCAGCUAAAGGCAUAUGUAAAAAUUUACAGGCACUGAUGUCUCUGGAGACAAGGAUGGAACUGGUAACAGCUUCUCGGGAGGGUAUCUGAGAGACUGGAGGGACACUGAUGGGAAACUUCUCGCUGCUAAACCCAUUUGUACCCUUUGAAUGUGUUUCCACUACAAGCUUAUCUAUUUAAAUAAAUGGAUAGUGUCAACCUAAACAACAGUCUAUCGGAAAGAAAAUAACAUGAUUCAGAACACCGCAAUGGGAAUAUUCAUGCCAUAGUAAACUAUGUGCGUAUUAGGGCAGGUAAAGAAAAAGGUUUUUAAAGAAAAAAUGAGAGGAUUGCAUCAUUGAGAUAAUUAUCCUUGGCUAUAACAACACUGACCAAGGGUGGCGUCAGUCCAAGGCUGGAGAGGCGGUUGCUGGGCUCUUGUCCUUGCAGAAGAAUUUGUGUGGUAAUAAGGCUGCAGUGGCCUUUCUGCAAAGCUGUGGUUUUUGCAGUCUUGUGAUAGUUUUUGUUAUCAGGCAUUCCGGCAUGAGAACCUCUCCCUUCAUGGCCUUCCCCAGCUCUACAUGUUACGUUUUUUUUUUUUUUUUUUUUUUUUUUGAGACAGUCUCACUCUGUCACCCCAGGCUGGAGUAUAGUGGUGCCAUCUCGGCUCACUGCAACCUCUGCCUCCCGGGUUCAAGCAAUUUUCCUGCCUCAGCCUCCCAAGCAGCUGGGAUUACAGGCGCCUGCCACCACGCCUGGCUAAUUUUUUUUUUUAGUAGAGAUGGGGUUUCGCCAUGUUGCCCAGGCUGGUUUUGAACUCCCGAGCUCAGGCAAUCCACCUGCCUUGGCCUCCUAAAGUGCUGGGGUUACAGGCGUGAGCCACUGUGCCUGGCCGUGUAUGGCUUUUUGACAUAAGUGACUCUAUUUUGACUCUGACAACUUUCACAAUAAUCAAAUUGCCAGAGAGACCCCUCCCUUUCCCCUUCUCUCUCACACCCUUCAGCCCACUGCCACCUUGCAGUAGCCCCCAGCUCUCCACUCAAACUGCUCUUGCCCUUGUUGACAAAUUCAACAAAUUUCUCCCUUGAUCUUCCUGACUGCUCUGUGGCAUUUUGACAUUUCAAACACUAUUUCCCUGAGCUUCACAGAAACCAGUGAGAUAUAUCCACUAUUAGGGGAAGGGCCAACGUCUGUCCUGGCCACUGAUGUAGUCCUAUGGCCAAGUGCAUUGCUUGGCACACUUGUGCCAUAUAUUACAUAUGCCAUUACACACACACACAAAAAAUCAAAACAAAACCUCCUGACCAACCUUAACACAAAAGUAGGCUCAACGAUAGCACUGGCAAACUCACAAAAGACAUCUUCAUGUGCAAAUAGCCAGAAAUAAAGGCAGAGGCCAUCAGUUUUUAAAUAAAGCAAUCUUGGUUGUGAUAUUGUACCACCUUUUUGCAAAACAUUACCGUUGGGGAAAUCGGGUAAAUAUCAAUGUUUAUACAGUCUAUUAUUUUUUAAAAACUACAUGUGCAUCUUCAGUUAUUCGCAUGUAAAAAGUUUAAUUUUAAAUACAGCAGGAAGUACAAACCCGAUCUGUCAGCUGAAGAAAACAUCUACCAACUGGAGGAUCAUUAAUGGGUAAAUCAAACAAAUGCUAUGAGACAAUCGGUCGGGACAUUUUUUAGUUGCAAGCUGCAAAAAUGCAAAUAAACCAACAUAGAAGGAGUAUGUACUGGGCAGCAGUAACUCGGGGCAGGUCACGCACCUAUGAGCCAGUGGCUGUAAGGGAAGAGGUGGAAAGCAGAAUGCCAAUGGUAUGGGUGGUUGACUAUAUUUGGAAAGAUCUUACAAGAAAGAAAUGAGCCCGCAGACAAGUUUUCCAGUUUAUCAGCAGAAAUUAAGGGACAGUCCAGAUAAUUCGAGGACCUAUAAUGUUGAAUAGGACCUAUAAUGUUGAAUAAGUAAACUGACUCGGCUCCAAACAACAAGAAACAAAUGCAGAGAACAGUGGAAUGACAAAGGCCUCAGUGUGAUGAUUAAGGAGGAGGCACCCAAGCAAACUUUCCAGCUGGACAAAAUGGCUCAGGGGGAAAAUAGUCUGGUUUUUUUUUUUUUUUUUUUUUUGCACAGAAGCCCCACAGGUUUAAAUCUAGACUCAAAGUUUAAAUCUAGAGAGGCAUAAGGGUAAGGGAGUGAAGAAAUACAGCAGAUUUGAGAACUGAGUCACAAAAAAGAACUGAGUGUGGCUUCUGGCCCAUGUUACUGAUUGCAAUCAAUCAGGUAAAAUUCCUACUACAUUUUUGAAGCUUAUUCUGACAAAAAUAAAACAAACUCACAAGCCCAGGUUCCAGAAGUGUCUGUUCAAAACUUAAAAUAUUCCUUGGGUCUCCAAUCGCCUAGAGGAUGAGGAUUGAGAAGGCUGCACAACCUCCAAGAAAUUCUUGAAUGUCUCUUUUGGGUGUGGCCGAAAAGGAGGAUGGAAAGGGAGGAUAAUGGAAAUGAAAGAACCUAGCAGAGGGUGAAGCCAGAGGCCACAGAGGACAAUGGAAUGGGGAGACCCCUGCUAAAGAAUGGAACCCAGUCCUAAACAAGCAACAUCUGCCAGCCUAGGUGAAGUGGCCCCACAGUGGCUGCCUACUGGGAUUUUGGAAUUGCUACGGGCCAGGAUUGGCAGUCAGAAAGGCUAAGAUAGACUUCUAGUACUCACCCAUACUUGAUUCUCCUCUUGUUCUGGGCACUUCCAAGGGACUAUGGAAUUUUUUAAAAUGACAUACUAGUCUUGCCCUUCAGGAGCUGUUAGACACACACACAACUAUGAAUUAAAAUGUUUCCUGAGCAAACGUGCUUUUUAGCUCGCACCAGAAUCACCUGGAGGGCUUGCUGGGGCCCUCCACAUCUCCGAGUCUGGGGUGGGGGCCACAUUUCUAACAAGUCCCAGGGUGAUGCUGAUACUGCUGGUUGGGGAUUAUACGUUCAGAACCACUGUUGCAAUGGAUCUGUUAGCACUUAUUCAGUUCACGGUGCUAGUGAGUGACACAGAAUGCACAGAAACCUUUACCCUCCACCCACCUGAUGAGUAAAUAGAGGCUAAAGCAAAAUGAUGGAAACAGGAUAAAACCAUUCCUUCAAUUUUGCUAUAGGAGUCACAAACCUCACUAAAGGCCAAAAGUUAAAACAAUCAGGACUGGGUUGAGACGAGUUGGCAAUACCAAUCAAAUAUCUAAGCUGGUAACUGGAAACAUGCCAGAAACAAGAAUCUCCAGCAGCAAUCACAGAUGCCGUCCGAGACAAAAGAACUGGGCUUCAAAAUGAUACCCUUCUUCCCACCUUGGCUGACCCCCACCGUACACGAUGGCGCUCUUAAGACACUCAUGACCGCAAUCGGCUUGCAAGUGUUGGUAAUAUUUGUUCAUGUAUUAACUGUGUUUUACUGGGCUUUUGCAAACAGCAGUUUUCCCAACUAGAGAGAGGCCUAACUGGCUUGAGGUCAGUGACAGCUAAUUUGUUUAGGACUGAAUUAAGCAAGGGUGUGUUUAAGAGGUGGAAUUUUGUGGUGGUCUUGUCUUCCUCAGGAUCUCAGAACAUACACAAUUUUUCUAGAUUCUAUAUCACGAACCCAAUUAAAACAUGAGAACUCAGUUGAGGAUGCAAAGAGGCUUACCUGGUGACCAGUUCCUGAGGAGGAAGAGGCUGGCUUUCUUUCCCCUAAGCCUUCUAGUGCUAUUGUCUUGACUCGCCUUCCUGUGCCAGUCUGAAUAUGGUUACCCAAACCAAUCUAGGCACGUCUUCCCUUUCAGUGUUGCUAAGAGCCAAAAAGUCCACCGUCCAUCCCAACAGUAACGAUGUGCCCAAUUACUUCUAUAAUCUCACGUUCUCAAAUGAAAUAAUCUCGAAUCUAGGUGAAUCUUGGUGGAUAUAACAGAAUGAUUUAAAAAAAAAUAGAAACUCUUUGGUAUGUGGCACAUUUAACAUUCUGUGAAAAUUCGGGUGUUUCUCAUCAACUGGUCCAGCCAUCUCUAGUAAAAGCAGCAGCAAAGUAAGAGAACUGAGAUGAACCAAAAACUGUCUGCCAAAAACAUAUAUAAAAUGCAGUUAAUUGAGCAUUUGGGGGCAGAAAGGGUGAAGCCUUCUCUGGGCUUUUGCCCUUUGUUGCUAGUUGAGGUCAGUGCGGGAUAGGCAAGAUGUUGGGAGGGUCAACACAAAGUAGUUGUGUGGAGAUCUCCCUCCCAGAAGGAUGCCUCACAGGGAAGGAACUUCCCAUUAAAGCUAUGUGGUCCUGAAGAGGAGACACUCCAGUUAGUCUGAGCAGCUUUUCUGCAAGCACAGGACUGGUUAAUUCUGGCCACUCCCUGUCUGCCUAGUAGUAGAGAGGAGUGGAGGGUCCAUUUUCUGGGGUUAAGAACUUUGUUGACUCCUGCAACUGUAAGGCAGCUUGAAAUGGAACUGCACCUACCAGGUGGGAACAGACCACACGUCAGAUAUAACUGGCACCUGCCUUAAACGUGUGGCCAGUUUGCUUUAAAAUUAGGGCACAUGCUACCAAGCAUCUUGCUGAAUAUGGCACUGCAGUGCUCAUACAGGGGUAUUCAUGGUAAAGGUGGAAGUGGAGCCUUUGUCUUAACAGGGAACCAACUGAAUUGGUUAAAAUUUUGAUCAGAUUAGCAGCAAUAUGCAGUAGUAGACUCAACCAAGAACCACAGACUUAGUUAGACAUAAUCUUGGAUAUAUUAUCCAAGGCUUAUUAUACAGAGUAUGUUCAGAGGCCUGGCAGCAUCAGCAUCACCUGGCAGCUUGUCAGAAACACUCACUCUUAGGUCCCACCCCAGAACUUCUUAAUCAGAAAUAUGCAUUUUCCCUUAAAUCCCCAGGUGCUACUUCUGCACACACAAGGAUGACAAACACUGACACAUACCACGGACUACCUCAACUAAAGACCAGUGUCAGUAAUGGCUCAGGGAGGAGAGAAACAGCCCACUACUAGCUACACCUACUAGUUUCAUAGUUCCAAGUUAUAUGUACCAAUCUUCACUGCCAGUAGAUCAUGUGUGGUGCACAGAGGCAGAAGACAAAGGUUGCCCUUCACAGACCUGAGGUUUAAGCUUCAGCUGAAGCUUCGGAGUAAAAGUAUCAAAUAAUUUUAUUAUGAAAGAUAAGCCAUUUAUUGACCAU